rfam:Picea glauca, whole genome shotgun sequence.
GGGCUUACGGUGGAUACCUAGGCACCUAGAGACGAGGAAGGGCAUGGUAAGCAAUGAAAUGCUUCAGGGAGUUGAAAAUGAGCAUAGAUUCGGAGAUUAUCGAAUAGGUUAACCUUUGUAACUAUUGCUUAAUCCAUGGGUAGGCAAGAGACAACCUGGUGAAUUAAAACAUCUUAGUAGCCAGAGGAAUAGAAAGCAAAAAUUAUUCAUGUAGUAGCAACGAGCGAAAUGGGAGCAGCCUAAACCAUGAAAAUGAGGUUGUGGGAGAGCACAAUAUAAGCUUUGUGCUGCUAGGUGAAGCGGUUGAGUCCUGCACCCUAGAUGGUGAGAGUCUAGUAGCCAAAAGCAUCAUUGGGUUACGCUCUAACCCGAGUAGCAUGGGGCACAUGGAAUCCCAUGUGAAUCAACAAGGACCACCUUGCAAGGCUAAAUACUCCUGGGUGAUCGAUAGCGAAGUAGUACCAUGACGGAAAGGUGAAAAGAACCCCAAUUGGGGAGUGAAAUAGAACAUGAAACUGUAAGCUCCCAAGAAGUGGGAGGAAAAUGAUAUCUUUGACCGCAUGCCUAUUGAAUAAUGAGCCAACGACUUAUAGGAAGUGGCUUGGUUAAGGGAACCCACCGGAGCCGUAGCGAGAGAGAGUCUUCAUGGGGCAAUUGUCACUUCUUAUGAACCCGAACCUGGGUGAUCUAUCCAUGACCAAGAUGAAGAUUGGGUGAAACUAAGUGGAGGUCUGAACCGACUAAUGUUGAAAAAUAAGAGGAUGAGUCGUGGUUAGGGGUGAAAUGCCAUUCAAACCCAGAGGUAGUUGGUUCUCCCCGAAAUGCAUUGAGGCGCAACAAUUGACUGGACCAUCUAGGGGUAAAGCACUGUUUCAGUACGGGCCGCGAGAGCGAUACCAAAUCGAGGCAAACUCUGAAUACUAGAUUGCCCCAAUAAAAGGGAUAAAGGUCAGCUAGUGAGACGAUGGAGGAUAAGCUUCAUCGUCGAGAGGGAAACAACCCAGAUCAUCAACUAAUGCCCCUAAAUGAUCGCUCAGUGAUGAAGGAAGUACGAGUGCAAAGACAGCCAGGAGGUUUGCCUAGAAGUAGCAAACCUUGAAAGAGUGUGUAAUAGCUCACUGAUCGAGUGCUCUUGCGUCGAAGAUGAACGGGACUAAGCGAUUUGCCGAAGCUAUGGGAUUUAAAAAUGCAUUGGUAGGGGAGCAUUCUGCCUCAGAGGGAAGCACCGGCGUGAGUAGGUGUGGACAAAGCGGAAGCGAGAAUGUCGGCUUGAGUAACGCAAACAUUGGUGAGAAUCCAAUGCCCCAAAAACCUAAGGGUUCCUCCUCAAGGUUCGUCCACAGAGGGUGAGUCAAGGCCUAAUAUUAGGCCGAAAGGCAUAGUCGAUGGACAACAGGUUAAUAUUCCUGUACUACCCCUUGUUGGUCCUGAGGGAUGGAGGAGGCUAGGUUAGCCGAAAGAUGGUUAUCGAUUAAAGGAUGCAAGGUGACCCUCUAUACAUUGAUUCAAAGGUAAAAGAAGAAUCAAAUAUAGGUGUGUACAAGGUGAGGUUGGGGGUGGAUAUUCCUCAUCAUCUACUCUAGCGCACAAAAAUCCAAGAUGGCUUAUCCAAACAUUAUAGGAUGCAAAAAAUCAUGUAGGAGCACCCAUAUCAUCAAUGAGGGUGAGUAU